UCUCCCUCUCUCCCUGUGAAGAAAUAAUGAGAAGGCAACUGUCUAUAAGCUAAGAAGAGAAGACUCACCAGAAACUGGAAAUCUUGUACUUCUAACCUUCAGAACUCAAUCUCCCUGUGCUGAGGAGUUCUGGACAAGCGUGGAUGCUGGAAGGAGUUCUAGUCCAGAUUUCGCAGGCUUCAGAACGGUCAUGCUGGCACUUCCCCAGUCUCCACUCUGUCACCUGGGGCUUGACUAUUCUCCCGUUCCUGACCUACCAGAGCCACCAUCCUUUCAAGAAACAAACAUAGCAGUGUUCCCCUUACAGUGUUGUUACCUCCUGAACUUCAGUUUUAGAAGAUAUCAGCAAAUAUCUGCAAGAGAAAACUACAUUUUCA